rnacentral:rRNA from 1 species
UACGAAGGGGGCUAGCGUUGCUCGGAAUCACUGGGCGUAAAGCGCACGUAGGCGGCUUUUUAAGUCAGGGGUGAAAUCCCAGAGCUCAACUCUGGAACUGCCUUUGAUACUGGGUGUCUUGAGUAUGGAAGAGGUGAGUGGAAUUCCGAGUGUAGAGGUGAAAUUCGUAGAUAUUCGGAGGAACACCAGUGGCGAAGGCGGCUCACUGGUCCAUUACUGACGCUGAGGUGCGAAAGCGUGGGGAGCAAACAAG